UGGGGGAUCGUCUAAUGGUAGGACUGCGGCUUUUGGUGCCGUCUAUCUGGGUUCGAAUCCCGGUCCCCCAG
rnacentral:tRNA from 1 species